rnacentral:tRNA from 1 species
GGGGCUGUAGCUCAGUUGGUUAGAGCGCUUCCCUGUCACGGAAGAGGUCGAGGGUUCGAGUCCCUUCAGCCUCG